ACCCAUAACCAGUGAAUAUAUUGGGUUACAUGACAAAGGAGAAAUAAAGUUGCUAAUAGAAUUAAGGUUGCUAUCAACUGACCUUAAAAUCAAGAGAUUAUCCUGGAUUAUCUGGCUGGGCCACGUGUAACUGUCAGAGUCCUUAGAAGUGGGAGAGGAAAGCAGAAGAGUUGCUAGGUCUCUACUGAGGCAAUAAGGUCCUCAUCACCACGGGGUAUGCCUGACCACCCUUUUCUAAAGUUCUUAGUCUCCCUCCACUGUCAUUCUCUUGCACUCGUUCUUCACCACCCUUUUCUCAUUUUGUCAUUAUAUAUUUCUUUGCUUGGUUGUUUACUCUGUUGUCCAUUUCUUCUUUCCCCUGCAUCACUCUAGCUCCUGUAACCAGACUCUUAGCUACGUUAAAGCAGGCACUUGUGAAAUCUCCAGUCAAAUAAACAAAUGAAACAUGUGUGAAGCCUGUACUCAAAAAACCUUUUUUUUUUUUUUUUUUGACAGGGUUCCCCUCUGUUGUCCAGGCUGGAGUGCAGUGGUGCGAUCUCAACUCACUGCAGCCUCAAUCUCCUGGGCUCAAGUGAUCCUCCCACCUCAGCCUCUCAAUUAGCAUUUCCAUGUGGCUUGGAUCUUCAUGGCGGCCUCCGAAUUUCCAUCUUGGCCCUUGUACCUUUGACCUGGAAGAUUUAUCAGCAUUUGGACAUGAGCUGGGUCCUCUAACACUGAGAGGAGGUCAUAUCUGGGUACCCGAAGAGAAUGCAAGCUACUUGGUAGAUGAAAAUAAAUUCCUUCUUCUUGGAUGGGCAAGAGAAAAUUGGAGAAGUAAUGCCUCCUUCAGCAGCCACCAGUGCUGGCAGGAGAGGCUGCCACUCCUGGUAGAAGACAAGUGGCACAUGUUCCAACAGAAAUGGCCUCUAUGGCUACAUUUCUCCCUCCCUUCAGGAACGGUCUCUGAUACUGGGAAUUAGAACUCAGAGAAGAAUGACAGUUCUUCAUCAGUGAGAAAUAGACAUGCAAAAUAAUCACAGAUGGACAUGUAUGGAGCUGGCUGGUCCUGCCGUCACGUGUGAUUCAGUCAACAGGACUCUGAGACUUCUAUAAGAAGCAAAGCUAUGGAUGGGAGAUUUGCCAGAGAAUCUUGUCUUCUUGGCAACAUUCUGAAACUUCUUAUCUUCACAGCAAGACAUGUGGAAUUAGGACCAUCUAUGAAAAUGGGACAACCUUGGUAGAAGUUGAGAGAGGAGAGGACUCACAUCUCUCUCAGACAGUGCCUUUCCAUGGGGUGGGUCUAGAGAUUUUAUGUACAUCAGCAAAUGCAUUUUAGACCUUCUGAAAGAACAGCCUUGGAUGGCAGUGGGAGCAAGCAAAAUUUAUCAGUGGCUGUUUUAGAACAAAGGGAUUACACCUUUCUACCUUCUUGGACGAUAAUCCAGCAAAGACCUGCUCUCAAAGGAAACAUACCCCUGGACAUCAAACAGAACACUCAGGCACUGGGAAGCUAUGGGUUUGGAGUCAGCUAAAGCAUAACUGUAGUACAUCUGUCACAGAGAAUGCCACACUUGGGAGCACUUUAGACUUGGAGCAAGAAAAGACAUGCCUCUCAAGAGAAAGGCUUCCCAAAUUAAAGCAGUGCAUCAGCAUUGUGAGAUCCAUUGAGCAGGUAAAGACAAAGCUGCUUCACAGCCUGCUAGGAAUAAGAGCCCUGAUUAAAGGUCAUGCCAUGCUUCAGGUUCUGGCUCCUUCUGCUAUUCUUUAUCUCUGUGAACUUGUCUACUAUUAUUUGUUGGCUUUCUUUCUUUCCUUCUUUUUCUUUUCCUCUGCCUUCUUUCCUCCCUCCUUCCUUCCUCCCUCCUUCCCUUCUUUCCUUCUUUUCCCUUCCCUCUCUUCUUUUUCUUUAUUUUUCCCUUCCUCCCUCUCUCUUUCCCUCCUUUUCUAAGAUGUGCUGUACUCCCAAUAUGAUAUUACUGACUUAACGGCAAUUUUUUUUCCUUCUAGCCAAGAAGGAUUUCUGUCAAAACACUGUAUUCUCACCUGGUCCUUCUUGGGUCACAAUCAUACCUUUGCGAGAUGCCUGUAUUCACUAAUUGGCCCAAACAAAGCCCAAACCUGUGGCCUAAUUAUUAGCAUCUUGCUCUAACUAACCAGCUGGGGAACAAAACACGUUUGCAAAGUGUAAUCGCUAAUUAGAUAACUUUGAGAGUUUUUGGAGCAGUUAUUUAGGCAAAAUUCUAAAUCCAAAACAAAAAACAGGAAAGCAGGAUGGUGAUUACAUAUGUUAUUAAGUCACAGACAUUAAGCAAAAAAGAUAGACCCAGUGUUGCAUUCUAAAAUUUAGAAAUACCAGCUGGGUGUGGUGGUGUGCACCUGUAGUCCUAGCUACUCAGUAGGCCAAGGUGAGAGGAUUGCUUGAGCCCAGAAGUUCGAGGCUGCAGUGAGAUAUAAUCACACCACUGCACUCCAGCCUGGGUGACAGAGUGAGACACUAUCUCUCAAAUAAAUAAAUAAAUAAAAUUUAGAAAUAACUACCACAAAGAAAAUCAUAUUUCUAAGGCAAAUGUCUUUAUGAAAAAUGUUCUUUUCAUUUAUGUGGACAGUAUGUGGGUUUGGCAUUAAACUGGAUCCAUAAUCAGAUACAAGCAGGAUCUCAUAGUGGCAAAUGGCCAAGUAUUGGGGAUAAUACCACAUGGGUAUCAUCUUUAGAGAAUGUUCAUCAUUCCAUUGCCUAGAAGGAUAGACUAAAUUCCUUCUGAAACUAAAAGCCAAUGUUCAGUUUCUCAAAUACCCAAACAUAUCCGUUAGUAACUAGCCCAGGCAAUUGCACUGUGUGAAAAAGAGUAAGUUCUUUCUGCACCUUAUGGCUCUAAAUGAGAGUUUGCAUUUAGAAUAUGAAUGGAAUGUCCCUCAGAGAUGGAGUUCUUAUUCUUUCUCAAAGACCAGGGAUGCUAUUUGUCUGACCCUGCUUUUAAAUUGUGUUAAGGGUCCACAAUAUGCUGAGCUUUCUCUAGAAUAAACAUCAGGACCUCAGCUGGCUAGAACUGUUCAAAAGAUGUACAUGAUAUUCAGAGAGACUAGCUGACCUAAUCAGCAGUCCGUAAUUCAGCAUAGUCACAGGUCUGAAUUUUAGAGGACAAGGGAACUUGAAGGUCACUGGCCUUGCCUUUUGCUCAAUAGGCUAUUAUGGGCCCAGAGAAAUUAGCCUUGGCCUUAAGUCCAACUAACCUGGGUUCAAAUCCAAGCUUUGCCAAUAUGUGCUACAUACCCUUGGGCAGGUUACUACACCCUAACUUUCCUAAAUUUCCCUAAAUUUCCUUAUCUGUAAAAAUGAAAGGUCCCUGCAGAGCUGCUAUGAUGAUUACAGUAUGUGUCAAGAACCUUUAAUAGUGCCUUACCCCUAGUCAAUGUGGUUUUUACUAUAGAGAAGGAAACUGAGGCUCAGAGCAGUUAAAUGACUUGCCCAAGAUCACAAAGCUAGUUGGAAGAUCUUCUUAAUUUCUAAGACAGUAUUUUGUUACAAUAAGACAAAAUUCUGUUUCUAAACAACCCAAAUCCAUAUAUAACCAAAGGAAGGAGAAUAAGUACUAUAAGAAGUGUGUCUUUGCUACUCUUCCAUUUCCUUUCAUCAGCCCCUCUUCCUUGCCAUCGGGUGCUUUCUCUUCCACACCCUACCCCAUGCUGACCCCUACCCCCGUACCACCAGUGCCCACAGCCUAAACUGCCUAGAACUCCCCAUAUGGCUCCUUACUAAGCUGUGCUCUUCUUAGUCUUCUUUCUACCACCUUGUACAUCAGAGCCAAUCUGGCUUUGAUUUGCUGUUUUUUUCUUUUUCUUUUUAAAAAACGGAAUGAUAAUUAUUAUUUUUAGAGACAGGGUCUCCCUCUGUCAUCCAGGCUGGAGUGCAGUUGUGUGAUCAUAGCUUGCUGCAGCCUCAAACUCCUGGGCACAAGUGAUCCUCCCACCUCAGCUUCCCAAGUAGGUGGAACUACUGGCACAAGUCAUCAUGCCCAUUUAAUUUUUGUAAUUUUUUUGUAGAGAUAAGGGUCUCGCUAUCUUGCCCAAGCUGGUCUUGAACUCCUGGCCUCAAGCGAUCCACUCACCCCAGCCUCCCAAAGUGUUGGGGUUACAGGCAUGACCCACUGCACUCAGUUCAUUUUUUCUUAUUUGACAGGCUGGAAAGCAAUUUGUUAAACUAAUUCCUAUCACUGUGCUAAUGAACAUAACAUAGUGUGGUGUAUCGGAAGCAACAAGACCCAGAAUCUAGUCUGUUACCACCUUCCUCUGUGGCCUUGGGAAGCCACUUCUGUGGGUUUCAGUUUCCAUUAAGAGAUCACUCAGGGCACUUCUAAUUUUGAUACCCUACGCCUCUCUGACUUAAUGUGUCACCCCUCUAGGGGUAUUGGCUUUUUAAUAAACUUCUGGAGCCAGUAAAGCCAUCAAAUCAAAGGCAACUAUCUCCAAUGGCAUCACUUUAUGCACCAUGAAAAACACCUGGGGUAUUUUUGUUCCUAUUCUAUUUUUUAGAUGGAAAACUCUUUCUAGUAACUCUGAAAUCAAAAUAGAUUAACGGCUGCCCACACCACCUAAUGGUAAAGGUGGUCAUGGAGAGAGAACCCCAAAGAGUAGUGUUCCAGUAUUCUGGGGCCUGCAAAUCAAUGGCUCUCAGUUCAUAAUAUCUAGAAACUGUCUAAGUAAUCCUUAAGUCCCAAUUAAAAGUGAAAAUCAGAGUCCUUAACCUUUACAAAGAGAAUAAAAGGCAAAAACAGAACUCAUCGAGCAGAGACAUAUAAAAGAAGAGACUUGAGUGUAAAGGCCACUCAGAUCAGCAGCAAUUUUCUAGGAAUAAUUUCUGCAAUUGCUUUGAAAGGUAUCUUUAUUCAAAUGAGUCUUCCUGAACUCUGAAACAUUUCCUGAGGAGAAAAAUUCCCGUCCUUUGAUGCAUUCUCAUGGAACAAAAACACACGAUGGAUCAAAAUCUGGUUGAAGAUCAAACAGAACAGAAUCAAGAAGAUUUUGUAAAUAGAUGGUCUAUUUUCAGUCAAAUGUGAAAUUUCCUUCUAGAGACACAUUUCAUUUUACUGCUGCAUUGAUUUCAUCUUUUCUGUUACACCUCUAAUAUUCUCUGAGAAAACGUGACAUAGUUAAGGACCACUGGGGACAAUUAUGAUGGAUGGGUUGAACCUGCUGGGGAUGUGGACAGGAAGCCUGACAGGAUGGGAAUCAAAAGCAGCCUGGAUUCCCAGAUCUCUGAGCAAAGACACAUCAUAAUUUUCUCUACAUGUAUGGGAAAAAGAGCAAGCCUCAAAAAGGACUGCUAUUAUCACCAAAGUAAAGCUUGACAUUCCAAUUUUCCUGAGAAAAAUGUGGGUCUAGUAUGUUCCUUGAUCACAGAUCACUAAAGAAUACUUGCAGAAUUCCUACAGAGCUCCACCUUGUCAUAUUCUCUAUACCUAUAUAUGUAUUAUUUUUUUGUUUUUGAGACAGAGUCUUCCUCUGUUGCCCAGGCUAGUGUGCAGUGGUGCAAUCUCAGCUCACUGCAACCUCCACCUCCCAGGUUCAAGUGAUUCUCCUGCCUCAGCUUCCAGAGCAGCCAGGAUUACAGGCAUGUGCCACCACACCCGGCUAAUUUUUGUAUUUUCAGUAGAGAUGGGGUUUCACCAUGUUGUCCAGGCUGGUCUUGAACUCCUGACCUCAAGUGAUCUGCAUGCCAUGACCUCCCAAAGUGCUGGGAUUACAGGCAUAAGCCAUCGUGCAUGGCUUCUAUACCUACAUAUGUAUUCUGGUUUAUUUUUCUUCAUAGCACUUAUCUCACUCUUUGAUAUUAUAUUAAAUAUCUGAUUAUUACCUCUCUCACUAGAAUAUAAACCCCAAGAGGGCAAGGACUAGGUUUGCUUUGUUCAUUGCUGUGUCCCCAGUGCCUAUCUAGUACACUGCCUGGCACAUGGUAAAGGUCAAAAAGGAUUAGCUGAAUGAAUGAAUGUAUGAAUGAAUGAAUGAAAGUGUGAAUACUAAAAGUUAAGCUUAUAGCCAGUUGGACUGGGUUCACAGCACAAAGCUGUUCUAUGAUCAUACAAGUUAUUUGCAAACUUGUAUCUUGAGUUUUGGAGCACUAAUGCAAAGUUUGGCUACUGAGAUACAAAAAUGUCCAUACCCUUUGAUCAAUAAGUUCCACAGGCUAGUUGUGGUGGCUCAUGCCUGUAAUCCCAGCACUUUGGGAGGUCAAGGCAGGCGGAUCGCUUGAGCCCAGGAGUUCCAGACCAGCCUGGGCGACAUGGGAAAACCCCAUCUCGACAAAGAAAUGCCAAAAAAAAAAAAUUAGCUGGGCGUAGUGGCAUACGCCUGUAGUCCCAGCUACUCAGGAGGGUGAGGUGGGAGGAUUGAUUGAACCCCGGCAGGUCAAGGCUGCAGUGAGCCACAAUCGUGCCACUGCACUCCAGACUAGGUGACAGAGAGAGACCUCAUCUCAAAACAAAAACAACAAUGAUUAUUUAUUAAUAAUGUAACAUUUAUAAUUUAAU